rnacentral:rRNA from 1 species
AUACGGAGGGCGCAAGCGUUGUUCGGAAUCAUUGGGCGUAAAGCGCGUGUAGGCGGCUUGGCAAGUCGGGUGUGAAAUCCCGGGGCCCAACCCUGGAAUUGCAUUCGAAACUGCUCGACUAGAGUCCCGGAGAGGGUGGCGGAAUUCCCGGUGUAGAGGUGAAAUUCGUAGAUAUCGGGAGGAACACCAGUGGCGAAGGCGGCCACCUGGACGGUGACUGACGCUCAGACCCGAAAGCGUGGGGAGCAAACAGGAUUAGAUACCCCAGUAGUCC